ensembl:lncRNA
UUUUUUCUUUUUUUUUUUUUUACCACCAAACAACUAAUUUUGUCUUCCAAAAAAAGCUCUAGGGUUUAUUAACUGUGUAAUCACAAUUUACUGAGGUCCUCUCAUCAAAUUAGCCCUGCAACAAUGCAAUUUUUCCUUUAUUUUACUUCUUUUUCAAGAAGUGCUUUCCACUAUGCCUCUUAUUAAGACCGGCAGUCACUCUCCUCUAAUUUAGGUGUUUUUCUCAUGGCAACAGUUCAUUAUUACAGCUGCAGAAUUUUUAAAAUCCAAUUCUGGGCUUCCUUUUCCUUAUUUCCUAUGGCAUCAUAAAAUGUGUUGCCUUCAAAUUAUAGCAUAUUCCUUCAAAGGAAUAUGCUCUGUUGUUCUUUAGAAAAAGGAAUUUCAAUCUAGGAAUAAUUCGCUAAAUUUCUGAGACUAUUUGCUUGUUUGUUUUAUUUAUUCAUGUAUUUUACACUUAGGCUUUAUAAUAACAAGCUUCAAUAAACUAUAGUGUUAAAAUCCUUUUUUUUUUAAGUGUUCAUUUCUUUCAGCGUGUACAGCAAGAUAAAUUUACCGUAGUCUGCUUUUCUCCAUUUUACCUAUAGGGGUAUGGAAUUCAUACAGACUCUCACCAAUACCUAUAUCAAAACUUGCUUCUACAAAAUCACAGAAAUAUUCUUUAUCUAGUUCCUAGCACCCAUCUUAAUAUUUGCCCCUCAAAGGAACAGCAAAUAUCCCAAACGUCAAAUGAGUGCGUGAAUGGAAACCCAAAAAUAGAGCCCCGAAGAUCAAUGGAUGUGACUGAGAAAGCGUUUACAUUCUCAGGGGUAGAGUUCACUGUGUUUCUAAGUGGAUCAGAGAUAUGAUCCCCGGCCACUGUGAAUGGAAAGGAAACUAGAUGCCAUCAGAGGGAGAUACAAGUACUAAUGCAGUGAGGUAAUGCGGCAAAGAAUAGAAGAGUCAAGGAAUGAAAUGCUGCCCUGAGGAAUCUUAAAAUAAACUCAUCUUUGCAUCCCAACCAACAGAAGAAUGAGAAAAGACAAAGGACAGAAUUUCAGAGUUUAAAACCUUUGGAACUGAGAAGUGUGAACUUUUACUUCCUGUGCCUAUCAACUGAAGUUACACCCUGAGCCGUUGUAGCGUUAUCUCAGCAUGUUUUCCUAGGAAUAUAAUAAGCGAAAGAUUGCUGACAUCCUUCCAGUUUGGUGGGAGGGGGUCAAAAUGCUGACUCUCCACAUUGAGAGAUCCAGCAGGGGUGGCCCUGACACAUGCUCUGACUGGACAUUCCUGAGAAGGUUGCUGAAGCACAAAUUUCAAGCCAAAAUGCCUGGGAAAUGGUCAGCGCAGAGGGUUUUUGCACAUGCUAGGCACACUGCAGCAGCCUUUUUUGCAGAAAGCAAUUCAGCAGGCUGUCAAUCAAAGGUCCUGAGGCUGACAGACCAUGGACACCCACUUCUCACCUUGCUGGGCCAUCAGGACAAGGAGGAGAGAAAGUGGCUGACAGCCGAAAUCCCCUCAAUGAAGGAAAAUGAAAUAAAUCUAUUUAUAAAAGGAGUUUCUCCACUUUGGUCUUCUUUGCAAACCCAUCGUGAACCAUACUCUGAUUUCACCUAAAUCUCUGGAAGCCAAAUGAGGUGCUGUCAGAAAAGUAAAAGGGCACCACUUUUAGCAAUUUUCAUAAAAGCAGGUAUUUAUAGUUUUAACAUUUUUGUUUUGUUUUGUUUGCCAACAGUAUUUCUCAGUGGGAGGGACGUCUCACGUAUCCACUGAUUUCGCUUUCCUGGUAAAUCAAUUCUCAAUAAAUCAAGUGGCUUCUAGGUGAAUGUAUGUGAAGACAUUUAAGUAUAACAAUUAUUUUACUGUGUAUAGGAAGUGGAGGAAAAGACAAAAAGGUCUCUUUUUAUUUACUUGAGACCAGGGUUAAAAAUACUGAAAUCUUAUAUGGAGAUAGCCC